GUGUCACUUUGGCGGCACAUAUACUAAAAUUGGAACCAUACAGAGAAAAUUAACAUGGCCCCUGGGCAAGGAUAACAUGCAAAUCCAUGAAGCAUUCCAUAUUUUU
rnacentral:snRNA from 1 species